UACAGAGGUGGCAAGCGUUGUUCGGAAUUACUGGGCGUAAAGGGCUCGUAGGCGGCCAACUAAGUCAGACGUGAAAUCCCUCGGCUUAACCGGGGAACUGCGUCUGAUACUGGAUGGCUUGAGGUUGGGAGAGGGAUGCGGAAUUCCAGGUGUAGCGGUGAAAUGCGUAGAUAUCUGGAGGAACACCGGUGGCGAAGGCGGCAUCCUGGACCAAUUCUGACGCUGAGGAGCGAAAGCCAGGGGAGCAAACGGG
rnacentral:rRNA from 1 species